UAGCAUGUUUUUCAAAAACAUUUCUUUUAGGCUGAAUUGAAAGUAAAAUCUGCCCACUGAUAUAUUGAAGGGCCGCGGUAUCAUGACCGUGCUAAGGUAGCAUAAUCAUUAGUCUCUUAAUUAGGGAAUUGUAUGAAUGGUUAAACACACAAAUAUUUUAUUCUGAAAAAAUUUUAAACUUAAAUUUAAAGUGAAAAUGCUUUAUUACAUUUAAAAGACGAUAAGACCCUUUAGAGCUUAGGAAACUGAUAAAUUGUGCAUUUUGGGGGAAAUGCACAAUUUAUCAGUUUCCUUAGUUGGGGCAACAUUAGAAUAUAAAAAACUUCUAGUUAAUUUGUUAUCUUGUUUUAAGAGAGUUAAAAAGUUACCUAAGGGAUAACAGCGUUAUAAUUUUUGAGAGUUCAUAUCGACAAAAUUGUUUGCGACCUCGAUGUUGAAUUAAAAAUUCUUAAUAGGGCAGUUCUUAUUUAAGAUAGUCUGUUCGACUAUUAAAUUUUUACAUGAUUUGAGUUCAAACCGGCGAAUA
rnacentral:rRNA from 1 species